AUGCACGCUGGCGGCGUGCCUCAUACAUGCCAGUCGAGCGAACGGACGAGAAGCUUGCUUCUCUGAUGUUAGCGGCGGACGGGUGAGUAACACGUGGAUAACCUACCUAUAAGACUGGGAUAACUUCGGGAAACCGGAGCUAAUACCGGAUAAUAUUUUGAACCGCAUGGUUCAAAAGUGAAAGACGGUCUUGCUGUCACUUAUAGAUGGAUCCGCGCUGCAUUAGCUAGUUGGUAAGGUAACGGCUUACCAAGGCAACGAUGCAUAGCCGACCUGAGAGGGUGAUCGGCCACACUGGAACUGAGACACGGUCCAGACUCCUACGGGAGGCAGUAGUAGGGAAUCUUCCGCAAUGGGCGAAAGCCUGACGGAGCAACGCCGCGUGAGUGAUGAAGGUCUUCGGAUCGUAAAACUCUGUUAUUAGGGAAGAACAUAUGUGUAAGUAACUGUGCACACCUUGACGGUACCUAAUCAGAAAGCCACGGCUAACUACGUG
rnacentral:rRNA from 1 species